AUGACACCAGGGUUGAGUCUGCUCAGCUUUAAGAAGGAAAUGCAUGUGUAUUUUUGCAUGCCCUUAUUUGUGUCAGAAUAUUUUUUCCACCCUUUCUCAUUCACACCUCUUCUCACUUUCCAGAGUCCCCGUGUCAGCCUCAUCCAUGCUCUGUCCAUGCUGGGUUACGAUAACUCUUCUACUGCCACAUCUUCUGCUUUGAGGGUGUUCUCCUCUGCUGACCAAUGGAUGAGAAAAAAAGAAAACAGCUCAUGUUGCCUUUUGCCUCAUCAGAAAUGCAUUCAUCUGCCUAAUAUCUCCCCAUCCUGUCAGGCCACAAAUGCUACUUCAAUCGAUCCCAAUAUGAAGAUUGCAAAGGAGACAGAGUGGAUUAAAUUACUUGGCUGA
rnacentral:lncRNA from 1 species